CGACGAUGCGUAGCCGACCUGAGAGGGUGAUCGGCCACACUGGGACUGAGACACGGCCCAGACUCCUACGGGAGGCAGCAGUAGGGAAUCUUCCGCAAUGGACGAAAGUCUGACGGAGCAACGCCGCGUGAGUGAUGAAGGUUUUCGGAUCGUAAAGCUCUGUUGUUAGGGAAGAACAAGUACCGUUCGAAUAGGGCGGUACCUUGACGGUACCUAACCAGAAAGCCACGGCUAACUACGUGCCAGCAGCCGCGGUAAUACGUAGGUGGCAAGCGUUGUCCGGAAUUAUUGGGCGUAAAGGGCUCGCAGGCGGUUUCUUAAGUCUGAUGUGAAAGCCCCCGGCUCAACCGGGGAGGGUCAUUGGAAACUGGGGAACUUGAGUGCAGAAGAGGAGAGUGGAAUUCCACGUGUAGCGGUGAAAUGCGUAGAGAUGUGGAGGAACACCAGUGGCGAAGGCGACUCUCUGGUCUGUAACUGACGCUGAGGAGCGAAAGCGUGGGGAGCGAACAGGAUUAGAUACCCUGGUAGUCCACGCCGUAAACGAUGAGUGCUAAGUGUUAGGGGGUUUCCGCCCCUUAGUGCUGCAGCUAACGCAUUAAGCACCCCGGCUGGGGGA
rnacentral:rRNA from 1 species